rnacentral:rRNA from 1 species
AGACCAUCAUGUCGGUCGUGCCUCGGUACGUACUGGUAUUGUUGGUUUCUCCCUUCUGACGAACCUUGAUGUCAUUAAUUUGGUGUCUUGGGGAAUCAGGACUGUUACUUUGAAAAAAUUAGAGUGUUUAAAGCAGGCUCACGCUUGAAUACAUUAGCAUGGAAUAAUGAAAUAGGACGUUUAAUUCUAUUUUGUUGGUUUCUAGGAUUGACGUA